ensembl:lncRNA
CAGCACUUACUUUGCGCAUCAUACAUCAGACUGGAACUUGCACUGAAAAAAAAAUCUGUUCUAUAGGACGAGUGAUGAAACUCACAGAUGGUGCGCAUCGUUUGUUGAUAGAUGGCUUGAUUAGCUUCCUCCUAUAUUUAUCCACCAGCCUCUCUGCAAACACAUCCCAGUGUGUCCUUAAGCUCCUCUUCAAGCUUGAUAAAUGCCAUGCAGACAGGCUGAUAUUGGUGCAGAGGUAAACCCUUACCUAGUGGUAUUUACUCUCUAAUCUGUCCUCUUUGGGUAUCGGCUAACCUCGAAGUGAUGCUUCUGGAAAUCAAAGGGUGUGUUGGUCCCAGACCUGACUGUGUUUGCCUUAAAGAUAUUGCUUUAGAUUACAACCUGCAAAUUGCAGCGUGUGCUUAUUUGGUAUUUGCACGGUAUCCCUAAAAUAUUUGUAACAAUAACUCUAGCGAGACAAAAAAGGGAAGAACAAAGAGGUUGGGGAAUGAGGGGGUAGCUAGGAUUCAUUUUUCAACAUUUUUUCUCAUUUUGUUUUUGUUUUUUAAUCUUUUUUUUUCCCUGAGGAGUAGGAAUGACGAAUCUCAGAGGUAAUGGGAGUGAAUUAGUUGCAAAUUCUACAGGAUGCCAUGUGUAGUGUGUAUUUUAUUUUAUAUAUAUGAUGAAUUUCAGAAGCAGUAGCAUGCACAGUGUAUAGUCAUCUGCAUUUUUUGUGCAUUAAAGCAAUCUCUAAUGACUUUUUCAAGAUAACGAUACUGUAAAUAUUUAGAAUACAUAAACUGUAUUUAUAUUUUAAUUUUAUACUUUAUAUUUUAAGCCUUGUAUAUAUUCCUUUGUGUCCACCUGUAACUAGAAAUGUGUUGGUUGUUGGGUUUUUUACACUGAGCUAUAGAUCUAAACUUCAAUGAGUUUACAACUGUGAGCUAUCAGAGUGUUUCAAAUUGGCAAAAAUCUGCCUCUCCUAAGACUUUGCUCUUCACGCCAUCUUGGAUUCACCUGUAAAUUAGAUGCCGCUGCAUCAUCAUCUCACCCUGUGACAGCCACUAAAGCAUUGUCAUUUAUUAAAUGGUAAUGUACGCAGAUUGACAACCCG